CCGCGGGAUAGAGUUUGAUCUGGCUCAGAAUAACGCUGGCGGCGUGCCUAACACAUGCAAGUCGAACGAGAAAGUGGAGCAAUCCAUGAGUAAAGUGGCGCACGGGUGAGUAACACGUGACUAACCUACCCUUGAGUGGGGGAUAACCUAGAGAAAUCUGGGCUAAUACCGCAUAAUACCUUCGGGUCAAAGGAGCAAUUCGCUUAAGGAGGGGGUCGCGGCCGAUUAGUUAGUUGGCGGGGUAAUGGCCCACCAAGACUAUGAUCGGUAUCCGGCCUGAGAGGGCGCACGGACACACUGGAACUGAAACACGGUCCAGACUCCUACGGGAGGCAGCGGUGGGGAAUUUUGCGCAAUGGGGGAAACCCUGACGCAGCAACGCCGCGUGGAGGAUGAAGUCCCUUGGGACGUAAACUCCUUUCGAUCGGGACGAUAAUGACGGUACCGAGAGAAGAAGCCCCGGCUAACUUCGUGCCAGCAGCCGCGGUAAUACGAGGGGGGCGAGCGUUGUUCGGAAUUAUUGGGCGUAAAGGGUGCGUAGGCGGUUUGGUAAGUCUUGUGUGAAAUCUUCGGGCUCAACUCGAAGUCUGCAUGAGAAACUGCCGGGCUUGAGUGUGGGAGAGGUGAGUGGAAUUCCCGGUGUAGCGGUGAAAUGCGUAGAUAUCGGGAGGAACACCUGUGGCGAAAGCGGCUCACUGGACCACAACUGACGCUGAGGCACGAAAGCUAGGGGAGCAAACAGGAUUAGAUACCCUGGUAGUCCUAGCCCUAAACGAUGAUCGCUUGGUGUGACGGGUACCCAAUCCCGCCGUGCCGAAGCUAACGCGUUAAGCGAUCCGCCUGGGGAGUACGGU
rnacentral:rRNA from 1 species